UUUUCACAAAAUUACAAACAUGCCCAAUAUAUAAAAGGCAUUUUUCCCACUUAAGCAGCCAACAAGAACUUGCAAGUGAAGUUCUCUCUUCUAUCUAUUUAUUAUUUAUUAGUUUCUCUCCAUCAAUCUUUAGCUUUACAGCCAGCAUUAUCAAUGGCGUACCUGCAUGCUUUGACUACAAUAAAUUGCUUGUUUUGCGUUUUACUAAGGUUAUGGUUGAUGAAUUAUUUACUUCUAUGGGAUCUAAGUACUUUCCAAGUAAAAAAAAAAAAAAACAAAAUUGAAAUCCAUGACCAAGAUUGAGUUUUUUUUCCUUUUUAAGAUAAACCCAAUUCAAAAAUUUUGGAUUUUCUUAUUUUUAGUUACAUGGGCAAAGAAAGAUUUGAGAUAGGAGGGGUUUUGUUCUAUAUUUUAAGUGAUGGUAUCGGUUAUUGGGAUUUGCGAUGAAUUGUUACGGUCAUGAGGAGAACUACUAGAUAGUAUGGUUCUUCUUAGCUGCUGCAUGUGCUUGAAAAUGGACCUCCUCCAUAUUUGUUUGUGGCUUUUCGUUCUUGUAUGUGAAUGGCCCUUGAUUUAAUAAAGCACAUGCAAUUUUGAUUUAAUGUGCAAAUGAAAAGAUAAAAAGACAAGGAGAAUAUGCUUCGCUGAAGACAUUUUGAGAUACAAUAUCCUAAAGUGAGUUUGAUAUUGAUGACUUAACAGCAUCGUCUGUCUUUUGGCUGAUGCAUAAACAUUGAUAGAUGGGUGAACUUGGGAAGUAUGGGUCUGUAACCGAGUCAACAGCAGGUGCUGAUCCAUGGUGACCUGAGUGUCAUCAACAUACAAGCCAUAUGAAUUUACCUUGAAACUCACCGUUGCUGUGUUGAUUGGCCCAUAACCUAGUUAAAUUUAUGUUCAGAUUUUUUUAUAUUCUUAUUUUGUGAUUCUUUCAUUUCAAGGGUAAAUUUGCUGCACGCAGAAAGGGGUAAAUUCUUGGUUGAUUUAAUGCCAAAUUACCUUUUGCAUGGUGCCCAAAUUGUGCUGCUUUUCACAAUUGAAGGGAGAUGCUGUCCAUUGGCUCCCUUCAGGUUUUAAGAGAUAAUUUCCCCUCAUAGUGCUUCCUGAGGAAAUCUUUUGCUGGUCAGUGGAUACUCUCCAAUUAGCUGUGACAAACUUCUCUGCAGACAAGCACGCCUGGUGGAUCCAAUCUCCCAUCAAAAUCGCGGCAAGCUCUUUGCAAGUACACUAAGAUCAGACUCUUGAGAGGAUGAUGUCUGAUCGGAAACCUACUGCUGAUGACUUUUUGGAAAAAUCUUUCAUGGUUUCUGGUUGAGUUAACUUUGAUGAAGAAUAAAAGAACAGCUGAAUCCUGCUAGACCUUUAUUUUCCUGUUCCUUUCUAUGCAGCAAUGGAUGGUUCUGCUACCACUGGAAUGAGUAGCAAACAUUCUCUCUGUCAAAACAGCCUUAAAACAACAUAAAUAAGAUUGUAGACUCAUAACAUUAGGAUAGGUCAUUUUGCUGCCUUCUCUUGGAAUUGUUUGUUGAUGUAAUUUUGGCUUAUAGAAAUGCCACCCAUGGGCAUGAAUGGCCAAACAUUGUCUACCAACAACUGUUACACUCAUAGCAGGGCUUGGUUGUAUUUUAUGUCAUUUGCCAUUGUAAUGCAUACACGGUCAAUAUUCACAGCUAUUGGCAGAAUCCCUGGUAUGCUCACGGCCAUCUGUUUCUGUAAUGUCUUGAAAUUUCUUUCAGAAAGGGGAAGAAUCUUGGCAUUGCCUUCAAUAUAUGGGAAUUCUUUAUUUUUUCCAAAA